GGGAAGUCGGCGCGGGCGGAUGUUUCGCCAAUCCGGUCAGGGCCGAGAGGCAGCAGCCGUAACGAAUUCUCCGGGUCGUGUCCGGCUUCCUUUU
rnacentral:SRP_RNA from 1 species